CCUACGGGUGGCAGCAGUGAGGAAUAUUGGUCAAUGGACGAGAGUCUGAACCAGCCAAGUAGCGUGAAGGAUGACUGCCCUAUGGGUUGUAAACUUCUUUUAUAUGGGAAUAAAAUGUUCCACGUGUGGGAUUUUGUAUGUACCAUAUGAAUAAGGAUCGGCUAACUCAGUGCCAGCAGCCGCGGUAAUACGGAGGAUCCGAGCUUUAUCCGGAUUUAUUGGGUUUAAAGGGAGCGUAGGUGGAUUGUUAAGUCAGAUGUGAAAGUUUGCGGCUCAACCGUAAAAUUGCAGUUGAUACUGGCAGUCUUGAGUACAGUAGAGGUGGGCAGAAUUCGUGGUGUAGCGGUGAAAUGCUUAGAUAUGUCGAAGAACUCCGAUUGCGAAGGCAGUUCACUGGACUGCAACUGACACUGAGGCUCGAAAGUGUGGGUAUCAAACAGGAUUAGAUACCCGAGUAGUC
rnacentral:rRNA from 1 species